UACGGAGGGUGCGAGCGUUAAUCGGAAUCACUGGGCGUAAAGCGCACGUAGGCUGUUAUGUAAGUCAGGGGUGAAAUCCCACCGCUUACCGGUGGAAUUGCCUUUGAUACUGUGUAACUUGAGUUCGUAAGAGGGUGGCGGAAUUCCAGGUGUAGGAGUGAAAUCCGUAGAGAUCUGGAGGAACAUCAGUGGCGAAGGCGGCCACCUGGUGCGACACUGACGCUGAGGUGCGAAAGCGUGGGGAGCAAACA
rnacentral:rRNA from 1 species